rnacentral:lncRNA from 1 species
CAAGGCUUGUGAGUGGCAGAGCUGAAACCAGGUCUUCUAACAUUUUGGUCCUCUUUCUGCUAUACCCUAGAGAUCCAGAAACAUUAGCCAUAACUGGAAUCAAACAUAGAUCUUCUCCUCAAGACAUGAACAUGUUUGUAGCCUUUGCCUCCAUAAGUCAUAUUCUAGGGCUGGGACACCACACAAUAUAGUAGAGAACCUCCAGUUUCUCCAGAAGUGGCAAAUACUCCUCCCACUGGGUAUCCACACAGAAAUAUGUGAGCAUGCUCACAUGGCAUGUGCUGCCCCACCUCCCCCUGACAGGGAUUUGGUCACAGCUACAGCAUCUUGAGAACCUAUUUAAACUAACUUGUGGUAACUGGCAGCACAGUAUCACUUCCUGGCAGGCUGAGUCAUUGAGUCUCUGCAGACUUUGGAAGAGAAAAUCAUUAGCCGAGACAUUGAAGAGCCAGAGGGUUGCAGAGAGAACCCUUCUUUUGAUCUGGAGUUAUCUGUUAUUGACCACAGAGAGCUGCUACUGACGACUCCUGGGACAGGGCCCUGUAUAGUGAGAGAACUCGGAGCUCAAUUGAGAUACAUGUAGGAAAGAAGAACCUUCAUGGAGGGAGCAGCCAUGUUACAAUGAGCCGAAAACACAGACAAUAUGAAGAGCAAGUCCAGGGACUAAUGGAACCAUACCCUGGAAGCAUGAAGUUACAAAUCUCCCAACCAAGCUGAGCCCUGAGAAUGAGAUAGUUACUUUGGCCAAACUGCUCUGAAAAUAAGGGAAAAGACUCUGACUCACGUUGAAGGUAAGGAGCGUAUCUGCCUCUCUUCUGCUUAAACCACCGGGAUCUCACUAAGGAUCCGGACACUAACACCGAUGGCUUCACUUUGG